AUGCAAUGAUGUUUUGAAUUUCUUCACCUGAAACUAAAAAUGAAGUUUAAAGAGCUUUUUAACCCUGAGCAUU